rnacentral:snRNA from 1 species
GUGCUCACUUCGGCAGCACAUAUGCUAAAAUUGGAAUGAUACAGAGAAGAUUAGUAUGGCCCCUGCGCAAGGAUGACAUGCAAAUUCAUGAAGCAUUCCAUAUUUUU